AAUUCUCAACCUUAUCAGUUUAUUUCUGAUAGUGGCUUGGAUGUGGGGGUUUCUCUUGCUGGCUCAGGUCAGCUCCCCUUAAAUGCAUUAGCUGGUGCCCCGUGUGGACUGUCUAUUGGUGUGAUAAUUAUCUACGCCAUGCAUGGAUGUCUGCUUAGCACUGCUUCUAACCGUCUUGGACAAUAUAUGACA
rnacentral:misc_RNA from 1 species